AUUGAACGCUGGCGGCAUGCCUUACACAUGCAAGUCGAACGGUAACAGGUUAAGCUGACGAGUGGCGAACGGGUGAGUAAUGUAUCGGAACGUGCCCAGUCGUGGGGGAUAACUGCUCGAAAGAGCAGCUAAUACCGCAUACGACCUGAGGGUGAAAGCGGGGGGUCGCAAGACCUCGCGCGAUUGGAGCGGCCGAUAUCAGAUUAGGUAGUUGGUGAGGUAAAGGCUCACCAAGCCGACGAUCUGUAGCUGGUCUGAGAGGACGACCAGCCACACUGGGACAGAGACACGGCCCAGACUCCUCCGGGAGGCAGCGGUGGGGAAUUUUGGACAAUGGGCGCAAGCCUGAUCCAGCCAUGCCGCGUGCGGGAAGGAGGCCUUCGGGUUGUAAACCGCUUUUGUCAGGGAAGAAAAGGUUCUGGCUAAUACCUGGGACUCAUGACGGUACCUGAAGAAUAAGCACCGGCUAACUACGUGCCAGCCGCCGCCGUAAUAC
rnacentral:rRNA from 1 species